GCGGGUGUAGUUUAGUGGUAGAACAUCAGCUUCCCAAGCUGAGAGCGCGAGUUCGAUUCUCGUCACCCGCUCCA
rnacentral:tRNA from 1 species